AGUGAACGCUGGCGGCAGGCCUAACACAUGCAAGUCGAGCGGCAGCGGGUCCUUCGGGAUGCCGGCGAGCGGCGGACGGGUGAGGAAUGCAUCGGAAUCUGCCCUGUCGUGGGGGAUAACCUAGGGAAACUUAGGCUAAUACCGCAUACGACCCACGGGUGAAAGCGGGGGAUCGCAAGACCUCGCGCGAUAGGAUGAGCCGAUGUCCGAUUAGCUAGUUGGCGGGGUAAAGGCCCACCAAGGCGACGAUCGGUAGCUGGUCUGAGAGGAUGAUCAGCCACCCUGGGGCGGAACACCGGCCCAACCCCCAAGGGGGGGAAGGAGGGGGGAAUUUUGGAAAAGGGGGGAAAGCCUGACCCAGCCAGGCCGGGGGGGGGAAGAAGGCCUUGGGUUUGUAAAGCCCUUUUGUCGGGGAAAAAAUCGUCCGGGCUAAUACCCCGGGGGGAUGACGGUACCGGAAGAAUAAGCACCGGCUAACUUCGU
rnacentral:rRNA from 1 species